rnacentral:rRNA from 1 species
AUGGAUGACCAAAUCAAAAGUAUUAAGAAGGAAAAGACCGAUAAGCAGGUCACAAAGCGCCACACAUGGAAAUCUUCAGAGGACAAAAUAUUGCUGAACAUACUAAAAGAUCAAACUAUAAAUGGAGGGAAGGAAGGAACAGGAUACACAAAAAAAGCAUGGCGUGAAAUCCUAGAACAGUUCAAUGAGUCAAAGGUAGACAAACUUGAGUUGCAACAAAUAAAAAAUCGUCAUAAGUACUACAGGAGUUGUUAUGCUACCAUGGACAGACUUCUAAAACACACAGGAUUUGGUUGGGAUGACGAUGACAAAAUGAUCAAAGCUCCAGAAGAAAAAUGGGCGGAACUCAUUUUGAAGGAUAAGAAUAUUCAAGAAUACCGUGAUAAAGUGUGGCCUAGUUGGAUAGACCUGCAAGACAUAUGUGCGAGCUCUACUGCAUCCGGACUAGGUGCUGUAUCUAGCAAAGGGAAAGGUGAAGCACAUAUUGAUCUGAAUGAGGUAGUACAAGUAGAAUCUGAUGAAAUAAAUGAUUCCACUAUUGAUUGUCCUAAGAAGCCUAAUAGCAAUAAGGCAGAGAAAAAGAAGAAGUGCAAUGCAAGUGGAUCACAAGAACCUUCAAAGGGGCAUAAGCGAUCAGCUGAUGAUGCUAUAAACGCAAUUGAUCGCCUAGCGGACGCAUCACUCAUCAUCGCUGAAUCAAAGAAAAAUGCAGCACAACAGAUAGAAGCUUACUCAGUCAAAGCAUGUAUGAAGAUAUUAAAUAGCAUGCCUGGACUUGAGGCAAAUAAAAAAUUGAAAGCUGCAGAAGCAUUUGAACAUGCCAAUAAAAGGGCGAUUUUCGUGGAGAUGGAUGAAGAGACUCGGUCUCUUUGGGUUGACAAUGCGUAG